UUUUAGGACUUGAGAAAUAAGGUCAAAGUAAAAAAAAUUGGCAUUAAUACUACUGUUAUUUUCAUGUUUUUGGUGGCUGUUGUUUCUAUCAGGCCUGGAAAUUGAGACAAUUUAAGGGGAUGACUGACAGAUUACAAAAACUGAUUUACUGUAACUUUAAGUUGCAUGCUGAGUUUUCCAAUUUUGUCUCUUUCUUAUUACCAAGAGAAACCUCUUUAGUGGAUUUAAUAAUUGAUUCGUUUGAAUUACUGUUAUACUGUGCAUUAAGUUAAUCAAACUGUAUUUGAAGAACAUUUGAGCUUUUGUUUAAGUGUCUUUGUGAAGUAGGUUGAAUGCUGCUGACAUUACUAAGAUCGAGAAUAUCUGUUAAGGUAAGAUCUGAACAGAUAACUAAUACAUCUUUUGAAAGUAGCAUUGAAUGUUGUAAUUAUCUGUACACACUGUUCUUAUUUAAAUUAUUUUCUAGUCUUCUGCUCCUGCCACUUUUCAAGCAUUGCAUUCAGAUUCCCAAGUGAUUGCUGUCUUGAAGGGGUUUGACUGGCCUUUGUAACAGCCAGAAAAAGUGAUUUUCCUCUAAUUUUGGGGAGGGAUUUCCGCUUUAGUCAACAGAGACAGCAAGGAGAAAGCGGAAAUGCACACAGCAAAGAACCUGCAAGGACCCAGCUCCAGCAGAAAGGUUCUUGUUUUAAGGCAGAAAGGAUAACAACACCUGUUCACAGUUCCAGUUGCCUAAACAUCAUACAGUGUCAUUGAGGCUCCUGCCUGUCUUCAGUCAAGUCUGGGCCCAGUGACUUGGACACCACUCUUUUAAAGUCUAAUAAGAGAAGAUCGUGCCCAGACCACAGUGAAGACCUUAUGGACAACAUGGGACUACUCAAUCAGAGGAUGACUGAUGAACACUUGAAGUUCCAGUUUGAACAUGCCCUCUUAGGUCAUG